rnacentral:rRNA from 1 species
GACGAACGCUGGCGGCGUGCUUAACACAUGCAAGUCGAACGGAAAGGCCCUGCUUUUGUGGGUUGCUCGAGUGGCGAACGGGUGAGUAACACGUGAGUAACCUGCCCUUGACUUUGGGAUAACUUCAGGAAACUGGGGCUAAUACCGGAUAUGAUCUCCUGCUGCAUGGUGUGGGUUGGAAAGUUUCGGCGGUUGGGGAUGGACUCGCGGCUUCUCAGCUUGUUGGUGGGGUAGUGACUUACCAAGGUUUUGACGGAUAGCCUGCCUGAGAGGGUGACCGGCCACAAGGGGACUGAGAGACGGACCAGAAUCGUACGGGAGGCAACAGUGGAAAGUAUUGCACAGUGGGGGGAAGCCAGAUGCAGAAGCGCCGCGUGCGGGAUAACGGGCUACGAGUUAUAAACAGAUUUGGACGGAGACGAAGAGUGAGUGACGGUAAUGGGUAAAGAAGCACCGGCUAACUACGUG